UACAGAGGCCCCAAGCGUUAUCCGGAAUAACUGGGCGUAAAGCGUUCGUAGGCGGAAUAGUGCGUCUGCUGUUAAAUCAAUGGGCUCAACCCAUUGCUCGCGUUGGAUACGGCUAUUCUAGAGGCAGGGAGAGGUAAGUGGAACUCCUAGUGGAGCAGUGAAAUGCGUUGAUAUUAGGGGGAACACCAAUUGCGAAGGCAGCUUACUGGUCCUGUCCUGACGCUGAGGGACGAAAGCGUGGGGAGCGAAUGGG
rnacentral:misc_RNA from 1 species